UACGUAGGGGGCAAGCGUUGUCCGGAUUUAUUGGGCGUAAAGAGCUCGUAGGCGGCUUGUCGCGUCGGCUGUGAAAUCCCGCGGCUCAACCGCGGGUCUGCAGUCGAUACGGGCAGGCUAGAGUUCGGUAGGGGAGACUGGAAUUCCUGGUGUAGCGGUGAAAUGCGCAGAUAUCAGGAGGAACACCGGUGGCGAAGGCGGGUCUCUGGGCCGAUACUGACGCUGAGGAGCGAAAGCGUGGGGAGCGAACAGG
rnacentral:rRNA from 1 species